AAUGGUUUUAAUCAACUUUUGAAUAUUUAUUUAAUGGACACGUUUACCUUUUGUUUUUAAUUCCCCUGUAUACCUUGAGAUUAUAUUAGUGAUAUAUACAUCAUAUUUUUUAGGAUAAAACAUACCAUAUUACAAUCAUCACAAUUCAUUUUAUUAAGGUUUCAUUCAAACAAAAAAUUGUUUCUUAUUUCUUAAUGAUCUCCUAUUUACCUAGUAUUUGAUAUAAAUGUCAAGUGAAGCAACAUCAUUUGUACAGAAGUUGUAAUUCAAAGCUGAAAUAAAGUUAGUUUAGAAGUGCAUAGUUUUGCAUGAUAAAUUUUACAUAUUUUUCUACUUUAUAUCUGCUCAUUCUUUGUAUACACAUGCAAAUACUUUUCCGUCAUUGCGGGAUAAUAUUAUUUACAUAGCCAUCAAAGAUGGUACUACAAUUUUUUCAGUGCAUUGCAAUUUAAAAAUAAGUUGACAUUGCAUGGAGUAGACCAUCACUUAUGGCCUUCACUUGGAUCUACACCUAACAAACCAUAUAUGGUUCAAUCCUGCUUAUUUGACAUAGUAUGUAGAUUACCUUAUUAAAAAAAAUGUUUGCGUUUAAAAUGACAAAAAGAUCAUAAUUUUUAUUGAUUCAUUAUGUGCCUUUUAAUUCUAGUGAUACUGAUACACCUUGGUAAAAAACACAAAAAAAAACAUAUUUGAGAUCUUUUAACUACAUGUUUUUGUCUUUUAACAAACACAAGAUUAUUAGAAAGUUUACCAAUUCUUUGUUAUAAUGGUCAGAAGUAAACAAUUUGGAAUUGAACAAUCACACAUGUCACAUGGUGAUAGUUAACUAAUACAAAGCUAUGUAAACAAAGCCCAUGUUUUAUGUUAUGAUUGAGUUUUAGUUGAUGUGUUACUUAAAUAACAAACAGUUUAUUAGUAAAUUAACCCUUUGUUUUGUCUAUGUAGUUGGACAGAAAGCAAUGUGUUUAAAGCUGUGUCUUAACUAUACAAAUAUAUAUAUUUAAAAAAUAUUUCACAUACAAAAAACAAAGAAAAGCUUCAGGUGAUAUUUAUGUCAAUGAAAUUUUACUUUUUAUACUAUUAUUAUUCUUCCACAUAACUUGACUUAACAUAGGUUAAAAUAAUGGGUUUUUUUUUCAGUUAUAAAAGUGCUCAUUCAGUUAUAUAAGCAUUAUUUUUAGAUUUUGUUAAAUCAGGUUAUGUGAAGGAAGCAAUGUUUUCCCAUAAGAAUGCAUUUUAACAUGGCUAAUGUCCUAGCCAAGUCUUUCAAAUAAUUUAUUUUGUGAUUCUGCAUUUCAUAGAUGUUAUUUGUUUUCUUACACACAAUAAAAAUUAAAAAUACAAAUUGUUUGAUUAAUAUGAUUUAAACAUGUUAUUAGGCCAC
rnacentral:lncRNA from 1 species